rnacentral:rRNA from 1 species
GAUGAACGCUAGCUACAGGCUUAACACAUGCAAGUCGAGGGGUAGCAGGGUAGCAAUACUGCUGACGACCGGCGCACGGGUGAGUAACACGUAUCCAACCUACCAUUCACACGGGGAUAGCCUUUCGAAAGAAAGAUUAAUACCCGAUAGUAUAGCGAGAGGGCAUCCUUUUGCUAUUAAAGAAUUUCGGUGUUUGAUGGGGAUGCGUUCCAUUAGAUUGUUGGUGAGGUAACGGCUCACCAAGUCUUCGAUGGAUAGGGGUUCUGAGAGGAAGGUCCCCCACAUGGGAACUGAGACCCGGUCCAAACUCCUACGGGAGGCAGCAGUGAGGAAUAUUGGUCAAUGGACGAGAGUCUGAACCAGCCAAGUAGCGUGAAGGAUGAAGGCCCUAUGGGUCGUAAACUUCUUUUAUAGGGGAAUAAAGUGCGGAACGUGUUCCGCUUUGUAUGUACCCUACGAAUAAGGAUCGGCUAACUCCGUGCCAGCAGCCGCGGUAA